CUGCAGGUACAAGUGUAGCUUCUUUCCAGCCCUGGAAGUCACAUGAUCACCAAGUAUCCUCUUCCUUAGGAGAGUCCCAGGGGCCAUACCACAGUGCAGAGGAGGGAACCAGACUGUACCUUUCUGUGGGAGAGGUGAUAAAGGACAGGACACAUUUUAACAGCUAACUGUGCCCUGCCACUCUCCCCUUGACUGACACCUGGGAAUUCAACGUACCCAGCAUCGUGUCGGGGGAGAAUGAGGGAUGCUUUAAAUACGCUUGGAAAUACUUCUUUCUUCAGAUCCCACACUUAUUCCUCUCCCUCUCCUUCUCUCCGGCCUGUCCAUCUCUGGUUCUUGGGGUGGGGGACCCUCCGGACGUCAUUCCUCACUUGAGACACGGAGCAACCUUGCUGUCGAUGUUCCUUUGCCGGCAUUCCACCACUUUGCCAUUUCCCGGGCCAAGAACCACGCUCAACCCGUCGUGGAUCAUCAUUGAUCAUCUGAGCCAACAACCAAUGACUGAGAGAAGAUGGCUGCUUGCAUCAGAAUCCUGACCUCAGCGUCUGCUCCCCGUGGGAGCCAAACUGUUUACAGCUGGAAGGUGGGGCUCCCGGUACACUUCCCACACGUCCAGAGGUGGCACCCUUCACCGCCCUGCUCCCAGGAGAAACGCUGACGUGGAAAGCCUAACACUUUUCUUAGAUCCAUUGGAGAAUCGAGGACCCAGCAAACGGUCACCCCCCAAAAUCCAGAUAAGCAGAUGAAUGUAGGGUAUCAGAACCAAAUCACUGGUAGGAACCCUUUAAUGGCGAUUUUGAUAAAUGGCACGAGGUUGAGUGUGUGAACCAGCUUGGAAAGUUGGAAACUUCUCGGGGACCAAGUCUUUGGAGGAGCCUCCCACCUGCAUGGUUCACUUCUAGGUGUCUAGCACGUUCUGAAAGAUCAAAGAAAAAUAUCCUCACGCUUCAGGAAACACAGGGAGGGAAUAACCACUUUUAAGUACACUCAGGGGGCGGGAAAUGAGAUUAGGAAAUACACCCAAAGCGUUCUCCUAACAAAGGCCUUCCCUCCAGAGGAAAGUACUCUAUCAGAGCCUUAUCUGACCCGAGGAGGGAAAUGAGGUUAAAGCCAGCGCUCCGUAGCCUUCCUGUCUCAAGUGAGGCAAGAAAAAAAAAUGGUCGAAGAAAUGAUCUUGAAGUCAUAGGCCUGGGACUCAGGCCCACUGAGAUGGCGAGACCUAAUUAUAUCACAGAGUCUUUCCCUCCCCAACCCCCAACCACCUCAUUAACAGGCUCCGGAAUAAUUCCAGCCGGUGGUGAGUGCGAGAGCCACAGACGGACUUUAUUUAAGAAGGAGUCCUUCAGGAAACCCAAACAGAGAGGGGAGGGGAGGAGAAACAAGGAGCAAGCCGUAGCCUCUGACAUCGCUGGCCCCAGCAAACAGGGGUCCCAGCCCAGUUCCUAGCCAGAGGGUCCUAAAACCUCCCACUAAAAUCCUAACUAUCUCAGUUCCUAUUACUCAAGUCACCACAACUGGAUUUCAGAAAAAAAGAAAAUAGAUUAAAACCUGCUAACAGGCAAGACAGAAAACAUAGUCUGCGGAGAAAACUGCAACCAGGCCCAGACUUGGGGGGUGGGGGGAGCUGUCCUGAAGCUUGGGUCAAAGUAAAUUAUGUCUGUGUUUUAA